CCCCUCGCAGGGUCAUGCCUGGAGAGUUUCCAGUACUCUACCAGUCUCGAUUACCAGAGGGAGAUCAAGCAGAGGCCUACCCGUUCCAUUCCUAGCUUGGGCCGUGGCUAGCGAGUGGAAUGGAAUCUGUUACAAGU